UGGGGAAUUGUUCGCAAUGGGCGCAAGCCUGACGACGCAACGCCGCGUGGAGGAUGAAGGUCUUCGGAUUGUAAACUCCUGUUGACCGGGACGAAUGCGCCUUGACCUAAUACGUCGGGGCAUUGACGGUACCGGUUGAGGAAGCCACGGCUAACUCUGUGCCAGCAGCCGCGGUAAUACAGAGGUGGCAAGCGUUGUUCGGAAUUACUGGGCGUAAAGGGCGCGUAGGCGGCGCGGUAAGUCACUUGUGAAAUCUCUGAGCUUAACUCAGAACGGCCAAGUGAUACUGCAGUGCUAGAGUGUGGAAGGGGCAAUCGGAAUUCUUGGUGUAGCGGUGAAAUGCGUAGAUAUCAAGAGGAACACCUGAGGUGAAGACGGGUUGCUGGGCCAACACUGACGCUGAGGCGCGAAAGCCAGGGGAGCAAAC
rnacentral:rRNA from 1 species